UGUCUCAGUACAAGCCACAUUAAGGUGAAACCGCGAAAGGCUCAUUNNNNNNNNNNUGGUUCCUUAGAUCGUACCCACAUUUACUUGGAUACCUUGNGAGUAAUUCUAGAGCUAAUACAUGCAAACAGAGCUCCGACCGGAGACGGAAGGAGCGCUUUUAUUAGAUCAAAACCAAUCGGUGGCGGUUCGCCGUCAUCGUACAACUUGGUGACUCUGAAUAACUUACGCUGAUCGCACGGUCUCGCACCGGCGACGCAUCUUUCAAAUGUCUGCCUUAUCAACUGUCGAUGGUAGAUUCUGUGCCUACCAUGGUCGUAACGGGUAACGGGGAAUCAGGGUUCGAUUCCGGAGAGGGAGCCUGAGAAACGGCUACCACAUCCAAGGAAGGCAGCAGGCGCGCAAAUUACCCACUCCCGGCACGGGGAGGUAGUGACGAAAAAUAACGAUACGGGACUCAUCCGAGGCCCCGUAAUCGGAAUGAGUACACUCUAAACCCUUUAACGAGGAUCAAUUGGAGGGCAAGUCUGGUGCCAGCAGCCGCGGUAAUUCCAGCUCCAAUAGCGUAUAUUAAAGUUGUUGCGGUUAAAAAGCUCGUAGUCGAAUCUGUGUCCCACGCCGCCGGUUCAUCGUUCGCGGUGUUAAUUGGCGUGUCGCGGGACGUCCUGCCGGUGGGCUUAGCUCGCGAGGGCGGCCCAAUUUAAUCCCGCCGCGGUGCUCUUCAUUGAGUGUCGAGGUGGGCCGGCACGUUUACUUUGAACAAAUUAGAGUGCUUAAAGCAGGCUAAAAUUUCGCACAUAGAAUACGUGUGUCUUGUG
rnacentral:rRNA from 1 species